AGAGUUUGAUCCUGGCUCAGGACGAACGCUGGCGGCGUGCUUAACACAUGCAAGUCGAGCGGAAAGGCCCUUCGGGGUACUCGAGCGGCGAACGGGUGAGUAACACGUGAGUAAUCUGCCCCUAGCUCUGGGAUAGCUCCGGGAAACCGGGAUUAAUACCGGAUACGACCACCUUAGACAUCUUUUGUGGUGGAAAGAAUUUCGGCUAGGGAUGAGCUCGCGGCCUAUCAGCUUGUUGGUGGGGUAACGGCCUACCAAGGCGACGACGGGUAGCCGGCCUGAGAGGGCGACCGGCCACACUGGGACUGAGACACGGCCCAGACUCCUACGGGAGGCAGCAGUGGGGAAUCUUGCGCAAUGGGCGAAAGCCUGACGCAGCGAUGCCGCGUGCGGGAUGAAGGCCUUCGGGUUGUAAACCGCUUUCAGCAGGGACGAAAUGACGUACCGCAGAGAGCCCCGCU
rnacentral:rRNA from 1 species